AUGUAAUCUAGACUGGCUUAGAAUUUGGUAUAUGGCUAAAAUGACUUUGGUUCUCCUUGCUGCUACCUUCCAAGAGCUGGGGUUACUGUAGCUGAAUAAAACACCAUUGUGUCCAUACCAUGGUUUCUUUAUUCAUGUGCUGAAGAAAGUCUAGCUGGUGCCAUAUCUUGGCUAAUGCAAACAGUGCAGCAACAUGGUUCUGACGUUUGAACACUUUGUCCUCUGCUGGUUGCACCGUGGGAUGCUGCAGAGCCGCUGGCACCGGGGCAAAGCUAAUAGAAGUGGAUCUCUGGAGAGCGUUAGAGG